rnacentral:rRNA from 1 species
CGAGUGUAGAGGUGAAAUUCGUAGAUAUUCGGUGGAACACCAGUGGCGAAGGCGACUAACUGGACUGAUACUGACGCUGAGGUGCGAAAGUGUGGGGAGCAAACAGGAUUAGAUACCCUGGUAGUCCACACCGUAAACGAUGAGUGCUAGUUGUCUGCAGGCAUGCCUGUAGGUGACGCAGCUAACGCAUUAAGCACUCCGCCUGGGGAGUACGGCCGCAAGGUUAAAACUCAAAGAAAUUGACGGGGGCCCGCACAAGCGGCGGAGCAUGUGGAUUAAUUCGAUGCAACGCGAAGAACCUUACCUGGGCUUGACAUACACUGGAUCGCUGCAGAGAUGUAGUUUCCCUUUGUGGCUGGUGUACAGGUGGUGCAUGGUUGUCGUCAGCUCGUGUCGUGAGAUGUUGGGUUAAG